GUCCAUUUGGUUAUCUUUCUGUGUUCAUGCCACUAAUGGAUGGAUUGGGCCACUGUAGGCUUUUUCUUUCGUUUUGUGUGUUUUUUUGUAUUUUCUUCCUUUUUUUCUAUUUCUAUUUCCAAAACUGGGUUUUCUAAAAUGAUAGCUACUUUUAUUGUGAUCGAGGGGUGGACGCCUGCAGGUUCAUUUCACUACAUGGCUAUAUAGCAGACUUUGUAUGCUUGAGGUCCUAGCGUACCCAUCACCCAGGCGGUGAACACAGCACCAGUUGGAUCAUUCUUCCUCCAAGGCUUCCUGUCUCCCUCCUUUUUCUGUCUGGUAGUACCCAGCAUCUGUUGAUUUCAUCUUUACGUUCGUGUGUAUUCGGUGUUGAGUUUCUGCCUGUAAGUGAAAACCUGCGGUGUUUGGUCUUCUGCUCUUGCCUGAGUUCGCUUAGCAGAGUGGCCUGCAGUUCUGUCUGUGUUGAUGCUGUGGGCAUGAUUUUGUUUCUGUGUUUGAUUUUCCUUGGUGGCUUCUUAGUAUUCUGUGGUGUAUAGGUAUCACAUUUAAAAACAUCUCAUUUUCUGUUGUUGGGCAUCUAGGUCAGGUCCACGUCUUUAUUCCU
rnacentral:lncRNA from 1 species